ensembl:lncRNA UBE2R2-AS1 UBE2R2 antisense RNA 1
AUGCAAGACAUUGUGAUUUUGACCUUGUUGGAUGCUGCACCUAAAGGUGGAUGGAAGAGGAAGAGUCUUGGGGGCUACCAUCCUGGCUGGAGAAGCUGGCACGAGGCUCCCUCUUGUGGAUGCAGCAAGGACUGUUAAAAAUCUCCCAAGGCAGAGACUUUUAGGCCUACAUGUACUUAGCCUCCUCUUCCCACCUCCUGUUCAUCUCUGUUUCCAAUGUUCCACUGCCAUCACUGCCAGGAAGUUCUGCAGAGAAGAAUGAAGAAGAACCGUAUGAUCCUAAACAUGUUCUUUGAAGAUAUUAUCAACCCACCAUUGGCCUUAUUUACUGGAAUGUUUUUAUAACCUUUAUUUGACACCUCUUCCCAUCAUUUAAAAUAAAUCUGGUGCUUCCCUGAA